rnacentral:sRNA from 1 species
AUUCUCUUCAGUUGAAAGGUGAAUAUUUAUGGUUCUGUAAAUAAACAUACUUUCUCCACUGGAUUUGGACCUGGUGUAAUUGUAGUAUUUCAUCGAAUUCUCUAUGCAAGGUAUGCAUUUGAUUAUCAGACAAGAAACAAUUGGAAACCAGUUUUUGUUUCACUGCACUGUUAAAGAAAAAAUAGUAAUAUUGACAGUAGUGAACUGCUCUGUAAAAACAAAAUCCAUUGACGAGUGUAUUUCAUGUGUUCUUGUAUGCCAAUCUGUUCUGUAUACAUAAUUUUACUCUUCCAUUUUUUCAUAUGCACUCAUAUGAAGGAAUAUCCUCCCAUUUAUCAUGUGAAAGUUCUUUAAUUUUCAACAUGAUUGAUUCCUUAUCUUCUGCUCUGCAGGACACAAAAAUAAAUU